UCCCUGGUGGUCUUGUGGUUAGGACUUGGCACUUCAACUGCCACAGCACGGGUUCAAUCCCUGGUCUGGGAA
rnacentral:tRNA from 1 species